CUGCCACAAAGUAGCUGCCACAUUGGAUUCAUUCAUGAGGGAAUAAUCUUUCUUUAAACCUUAUCUAAUAAGACCUUUCUUGCUUCCCAAUUCAAUGGCUUAGCUAUAUAAACACACACAAAAACAAACGCCCAGGGGACCGCCAAAUAGAUCUGGACAAAAAAGAAAGGAGCCCUUUUCCUUCGUGAAAUUUAACUGAAGGCAGCAAUAGCUCCCUGCCGGUUCUCCUCCAUUAGAAGCUCUCGUUUUCACCACCAAAACACCACCUAAACAUCACCACAAACACCCUGAAAAUGCAGUUGAAACACAGCUCCAAAAUACCUCAAAAAAUGCAGCAAAAUCGCCCUUCCUCUUCAGCCACCAAACAGCUAAAAAUUAGUGCUUAAACGCAGCUGAAAUCCACCCAGAAACAGCCCCAAAAACACUGUCAAAACCAGUCCCCUUUUUUUCCAAAACGACCCCAAAAAUAGCUGCCGAAUCAGCCCCAAAGAAGCUCUAAAUUCAGCUGAAAAACAGCUCGAAAACAGCCCCCUUUCCUCAUAAAACAACAGUAUUUUGGUCGGGUUCGAGUCUAAUUUUCCAACGAGCUUUACACGGCGAGUUUCGAGGUUCCGGCGGGGUCGCCUUCAGAUCCGGUUGUCAUUCAAUUUGUUCUGGCCAAAAUUCUGAUUCUAGUUUUGCCUCAUUAAUACAAAGAUCCAAGUACUUCUGAUCGUGUUGUUUUUGAGAGUUGCAUCUGCGCGGCUGGAGACUUCAAGGUGUACCUACUUGACAUUCGCAAGCCUCAGAGUCACCUUCGGAUAUUAUCUUUACUGUUGUUUAUCUUCCUUUCAAAAUAAUAUUGUAUUUAGAAAUUCUAGUGUAUGUCAGUAGAGCUUAUGACUAUGUACCACCGGUGUGGCGAUUGUUUAACAUUUGUUCAGUUUUAGUUAGGUUAUUUCAUUUAUCAGUUUAAGUUUUAUAUAGU